rnacentral:lncRNA from 1 species
GGGACUCCGAACAACAUUCGGUAACCAACCAUAUAACUCAAAUACGCAUAAAAUAACGUCGAACCUUAAGUGUGCAGACCCUGCGGGUUCGCGAACUAUGUAGACAUGACCCGAGUGACUCCUCGGUCAAUAUCCAAUAGCGGGACCUGGAUGCCCAUAUUGGAUCCUACAUAUUCUACGAAGAUCUUAUCGUUCGAACCUCAGUGCCAAGGA